GACGAACGCUGGCGGCGUGCUUAACACAUGCAAGUCGAACGGAAAGGCCCUGCUUUUGUGGGGUGCUCGAGUGGCGAACGGGUGAGUAACACGUGAGUAACCUGCCCUUGACUUUGGGAUAACUUCAGGAAACUGGGGCUAAUACCGGAUAGGAGCUCCUGCUGCAUUGUGGGGGUUGGAAAGUUUCGGCGGUUGGGGAUGGACUCGAGGCUUAUCAGCUUGUUGGUGGGGUAGUGGCUUACGAAGGCUUUGACGGGUAGCUGGCCUGAGAGGGUGACCGGCCACAUUGGGACUGAGGUACGGACCAGACUCCUACGGGAGGCAGCAGUGGGGAAUAUUGCACAAUGGGCGGAAGCCUGAUGCAGCAACGCCGCGUGCGGGAUGACGGCCUUGGGGUUGUAAAGCUCUUUAGCCUGUGACGAAGCGUGAGUGACGGUAAUGGGUAAAGAAGCACCGGCUAACUACGUG
rnacentral:rRNA from 1 species